rnacentral:lncRNA from 1 species
AGUCCUCCAGGGUUGGGCACUUGCCGGUGGCCUUGAGUGCAAUACAGAUCUCCACACCGUUGGAGUUGCGGAUGUCUAGAUUGAGGUUGUUUGUCUUGAGCACCGCGACGUUGACCGGGCCAGAGGCGUCGAUCAGGUUGUCGGUCUGGGUCGCCCACACCGGCGCGAUGAAAGCGUUGGGCUUGGUGGAAACGGUGAAGCCCGCGACCGCGUAGCGGCAGUUCAUCAGGUCGCUCAUCCACUCCACCUUGUCUAGGUCCAUGCUGCAGCAGCGACCCACGCAGCGCUGGGUGUCCACGUUGACGCGGAAGCAGUAGUUGUUGUUUCCGUUGCUCGCGAACUUGCGGGUGUAGGUGAGGUUGUAGGGCGUCGACAGCAUGGCGCCAGGCUUGCAGGUGCAGUAGGGGAACUCGUCCUGCGGCGGCGCGCAGCCCUGCGAAUAGGUAAACUGGUCGCAAAUCUUGCCGGUGCGGUCGGUGACGACGUAAGACAGCUCGGAGACGAGGCAAAUACGCUGGCCGAACACCGGCACGAUGUAGUUGCCGAAGCCAAUCGCGGGCGCCAGAUCGUCGCGGAAACCGCCGCCAUCGCUGAGGUAGGUGCCGAACUCGCGAGCCUCAGACUCCAGCUUGAAGUCACCGCACACGCGCAUCGCGGGCCGGCCGUUGGGGCGAGGUGCCGAGAUGUUCACUUGGGAGCAGAAGAAGUCCGUAGCGAGCUCGUAGCCCUUAUCCAUGGCAAGUGCCUGAACGGUGCUGGCGAGCUCGUUGCAGACCUGCUGGUUGGUGCGGCCGUUGUAGCGCACCCAGGUGACACAAACCGUGGAGCAAGGGGGAGGCGGCGAGGGGGGAGGAGGCGAGGGGGGAGGGGGCGAGGGAGGAGGCGGCGACGGGGGAGGAGGCGGGGGAGG